UCAGGCCUAACACAUGCAAGUCGAACGGUAACGCGGGGCAACCUGGCGACGAGUGGCGAACGGGUGAGUAAUGCAUCGGAACGUGCCCAGUAGUGGGGGAUAGCCCGGCGAAAGCCGGAUUAAUACCGCAUACGACCUAUGGGUGAAAGGGGGGGAUCGCAAGACCUCUCGCUAUUGGAGCGGCCGAUGUCAGAUUAGGUAGUUGGUGGGGUAAAGGCCUACCAAGCCGACGAUCUGUAGCUGGUCUGAGAGGACGACCAGCCACACUGGGAGUGAGACACGGCCCAGACUCCUACGGGAGGCAGCAGUGGGGAAUUUUGGACAAUGGGCGCAAGCCUGA
rnacentral:rRNA from 1 species